CCUACGGGUGGCAGCAGUGAGGAAUAUUGGUCAAUGGCCGAGAGGCUGAACCAGCCAAGCCGCGUGCGGGAAGAAUGUCCUAUGGAUUGUAAACCUCUUUUGUCAGGGAGCAAAGUCACCCACGUGUGGGUGUUGGAGAGUACCUGAAGAAAAAGCAUCGGCUAAGCCCGUGCCAGCAGCCGCGGUAAUACGGAGGAUGCGAGCGUUAUCCGGAUUUAUUGGGUUUAAAUGGUGCGUAGGCGGGUUAUCAAGUCAGCGGUAAAAUCGUGGAGCUCAACUCCAUCCAGCCGUUGAAACUGGUGAUCUUGAGUGGGAGAGAGGUAUGCGGAAUGCGUGGUGAAGCGGUGAAAUGCAUAGAUAUAACGAAGAACUCCGAUUGCGAAGGCAGCAUACCGGCGCCCAACUGACGCUGAAGCACGAAAGCGUGGGUAGCGAACAGGAUUAGAUACCCUGGUAGUC
rnacentral:rRNA from 1 species